UGAAUCAGAUUCCAGAAUAUUUUGACGUAUACACAGCAAAAAAAGUUGUUGAAUAUUACAUCGAAAUCGCUGUUUAUGCCCACAGACCGGGUUAUUUUUUAUACAGCUGAAACGGCAUAGCGAAAUUCAACAUAUUGAAUGAUUGAUUUCGCUGUCGGUUAACAUUUUUCUCGGAUCGUUAGUAUUGUUCGCCUAUAUAGAGUAAUGAUUGGUUGUGCUGCUCGGGCCAUCCGCAGCGUAAUUGGUGAUGGAAAUAUCACCAGGGGUAGCAUUUCGCCUUGAAUAUGAUCUUCCGAUUCUGUGAAAUGACAUGACGAAAGGUGAGGCUGCUCAAUCGAAAUUACCAGGCUUAUUUGAGAUGAAUCACCACCGUGGAAAUAAUUCCCCAUAAAAAAUUUGACAGCUCCCAAAUUUCACAAUCAUCCGACGAAAUCGGGUGACUAUCAAAUCGACCUAUUUUCAUACCGACGAAGUCGAUUAUCGUUGACUACUUAUUUUCGUCGGCAGAUUUAUUGAAUAAAUAAAUCGGUUGCUGAUUUCAUCGGUUAAAUAAUCGAUUGAUUGUAUUUGUUGCCUAUUUUGAUCGCCUGAUUAAUGAACGUACGAAAUCGGGUGCCUGUGAUUAUGAAUUAAAAAUGAAGCAAGCUCGGAAGCAAACCGAGGUACGUUAAAGAACAUGCCGGAAGACUGGUUUUCCGAUAAUUAGCAGUAAUCAAGAAUCAUGAAGUUUGAGGCGAUCCCGCUCGAUCGAAAAAGUGUUCGUGCACUCUUGUCUGGGUCAAGAUCUUCGGAAGUAUGGACAUUCCUCGAAUAAUUGUCCAAGGCAUCCAUUAAAUCGAUUAAACACCCUAUUUGGUCGGAUUACAAUAUUUUGCACACCGAUCAAUCUCUAGAUUUAAUCUGAUACACUAGAUGAUGAAAUUAAAUAAACCGAUUUAACCCCAUA